UCCUACGGGAGGCAGCAGUAGGGAAUUUUCGUCAAUGGGCGCAAGCCUGAACGAGCAAUGCCGCGUGAACGAGGAAGGUCUUCGGAUCGUAAAGUUCUGUUGAAGGGGAAAAAGAGCGGAGAGAGGAAAUGGUCUCCGAUUGAUAUUACCCUUCGAGGAAGUCACGGCUAACUACGUGCCAGCAGCCGCGGUAAUACGUAGGUGGCGAGCGUUAUCCGGAAUGAUUGGGCGUAAAGGGUGCGUAGGCGGCCUGCUAAGUCUGGAGUGAAAGGUACCGGCUCAACCGGUACAUGCUCUGGACACUG
rnacentral:rRNA from 1 species